AGAACCUCCUUCCCACCUCCCCACAUCCCACCCACCUAGGUCAUCACAGCACUGAGCUGAGCUCCCUGUGCUAUACAGUUUUAGGCUUUCCAGGAGAUUCUAAUGUGCAGCCAGGUUUAAGAACCUGUGUGCCAUAGGCUUUUUCUGUGGUCCCUAGAGAUCACAGGGGUAGGAACCAUUGCUGAAAGAGUGAGCCCUGAGUAUAAUUUGUCUAAGCCCCAUGUCUCCUUUAAUCUGAGUUCUGCCAUCAGUCAUUGCCUAUAAGGUUCUUGGACCUUUCUUCACUUCUUCUGAUGCCACUACCCUGAUGGGAAAAAAACAGUUAUUUUUCCAUGCUGCUAUUUCCCCUACAGCCACUUGGCCCAUCCUUCUUUCUUUAUAAGAAAUGAAGCCUUGAAUGGUACCUGCUCUGGGCUGUGUUCUCCACGAAGCUGCGUCUAACAAGUUGGCUACAACACCUGGAAUUACAGAAGAGCAAGGGCAGGUGGUGGAAAAGAAUGCCAGAGAUGCAGCAAAUCAAUUCAGAAGAAGGCCAAAUUUCUCUUUGGGCUGGCCACAAAGUUUCUCCAGAGUUCAAAGAAGCUUGAUUAGAACUAGGCGGUUCUCAAAUUACCUUGGUUUGGAAAACAAGCCACUGAGGAACUUAAUAAUGUCCCAAAUGAGAUCAUUCCCCCUGGCCCAGGACUUGAGAACAUUUGAACUGUGCUCAUCCUGACUGGGAUUCCCUGGUGGCUCAGCUGGUAAAGAAUCCGCCUGCAAUGAGGGAGACCUGAGUUUGAUCCCUGGGUUGGGAAGAUUCCCUGGAGAAUGGCUACCCACUCUAGUAUUCUGGCCUGGAGAAUUCCAUGGACUGUAUAAGUCCAUGGAGUCUCAAAGAGUCAAACACAACUGGAUGAUUUUUCACUUCACUGAUUGGGAACCAAAGAAUACUCAACUUACUGCCAGAGUCCAAAUGGAGGGCCACCCCGUAUUACUAGAUAACCGUUAGAAAAUUCCUCAAUUAGGACCCCAUGUGCACUGUCAUUGCCAUUUCUAUCAUCUCCCCCAUCAGAGGACUCCUUGUCUGAUUACAGAUUUUGGUCCCUGCCAGUAAGACAGAAUGUGCUUAAAUUGAUCAAAGAUGUGUGAAUUGCACAUAUCUCAAAUUUUUGUAACAAAGGCCAGCUUUGGGAAAUGUUUCAUAGAGUAUAUUUCACAUCGCUUAAUGCAAAGCUAGCAAAGGCAUUGUCUUUCACAUUAGAACUAUUAAAACUUGGUUAAUAUUCUCUCCAACCAUGAAUUUUUCAUUUUCUGGUUACUUAAUAUGUAUAUUAACUAUAUACAUUGUAUGUAUCCCCUGGAGAAGUAAAUGGUAAACCCAGCCAGUAUCCUUGCCUGGAGAAUUCCAUUGACAGAGGAGCCUGGUGGGCUAUAGUCCAUGGGGGUCCCAAAGAGUUGGCCAUGACUGAGUGACUAAUACUUUACUUUCACUGCAUAGCCAGAAACGAGCCAACACUAAACAAACUUUAAAAGUGCACAAGGCUUGUCCUUCCAAAACUGGUAUCUCCCACAUAUUUUUGAAAUACAAUGGAACAUCCUGAAUCCUAGGCCUAUACCUAUACUCAAAACUAUCUCCAACCCCACCUUUUUCUUGGUGUCUCAUUCCCGUAGGAUCUUAUUUGCUACUAGAAAAUUACUAAAUUCAUAGGCUCAGUUCAGUUAAAAAUUGCAAGGAUAUAUUUGAGAGAAAUGACUAAUGAUAUGAGCAUUUUGGCAUGCAAAAUUAACAGUGGGAAAAUAAGCUUCUUCAUGAAGUUCCAGAGUUAUUCCUGAAUAAGAUAUGUUGUCAUUUUCAAAAAAUUAAUGUGCUAUUUUUUUUAUAACUUAAAACAUCCAAUAAGAAAUGUGUAAAAGAACUAAGACCACAUGCUUUGUUUCUAAUCUCAAACUUAUUAAGAUUCUACAAAGAGAUAGCCAUCAGGGCAAAAGAAAUCUGUCAUCAAUAACAGGGUUAAGAUUGCAUAUAAACAGUUAAAAAAACAACAUUGUAAAUCAACUAUGUGCUCUGCUUAGUUCCUCAGUCAUGUCCAACUCUUUCCGACCCCAUGGACUGUAUUUCAACUUUAAAAAAGAAGAUUGCCUGUAAAAUACAUGAAGAAUGUAUAUUUUGAAGAUGUGGCUAAAAACUCACCAUGUCCACUUUAAACACUGCAUUGACUAAUAACAAGAUAUAAUUCUGGGCAUGAUUUUCUCAAUGUCAGUUCCACAGAGUCUUAGAUUUCUUAUAUUAGUGACAAAAAUGAAAAAUAUAGAACAAGUUAGUGUUCUUUCUAAUUCCAUGUAUGUUUAGUUAACUGAGUUCUUUUUCCCUCUGCCUGUUUUAUCUCCAUAGUCCUUAGUGAUUACAUGAUAUAUUUGGCUUCUUUGCUUAUCUCUACCUAAAUUGAGAAUAAAAUAUAAAUUCCAUGAGGACA
ensembl:lncRNA